CAGGGCAAAGCCUCCCCUGUGGACUGAGAUCAACCUGGUAGACUCAGUCCAGGUAGGUCCAGUCCCCUCCUCCCAGGCCAAGCCAAGCGAUCCUGCAUAGGCCCCAGGUUUCAAACAACUGACUCAUGCAAUGAGCACAGGACCUGGUACCACUGCCUGGAUGCCUCCCAAACAGAUCGAGCCAAUCAACUGUCUCACCCAUUCAGAGAGCCUGAUCCAGUUGGUGACCCCUCAGCCAUUGGUUCAUAGUUCAUGUGUUUCCAUUUGUUUGGCUAUUUGUCCCUGUGCUUUAUCCAACCUCAGUCUCAACAAUUCUCGCUCAUUUAAACCCUCCUCAUUCUCACUAAUUGGACUCCCAGAGAUCCACCCGAGGCCUAGCCAUGGAUCUCUGCAUCCAGAUCCCUCAGUAGUUGGAUGGGGUUUCUAGCACGACAAUUAGGGUGUUUUAACCUACAUUUCUUAAUUAUCUUAAAUAGUUUGUAAUAAUAGCAUUCAAGGACUAGAAUUUUACAUUAUAUUUUUAAAUGAGUUGCAUAGGUACAAUACCUUAAACAAGAGUAAAAACAUGGCCAUGUGGUGGUGGCAUACACCUUUAAUCCCAAGACUUGGGAGACAGAGCCAGGUGGAUCUCUGUGAGUUCAAGGCCAGCCUGGUCUACAGAGCGAGAUCCAGGACAGGCACCAAAACUACACAGAGAAACCCUGUCUCAAAAACAAACAAACAAAAAGAGUGAAAAUAUAUAUACAUUAUGUUACAACAAAAAUAACAUUAAACAUAUCAAAAUACAAAAAUACCUUAAAUAAGAGUAGAAACAUAUAUACAGUAUGUUAUAACAAAAAUAACCUUAAACUUGUAUCAGUAUACAAAAAUCCAUACCAAUGUAAAAUAUUCAAGGUUAAUAGUUACUUUUUAGUUUAAAACUAGAUUCAAUAAUCUACCCUUUUUAUCCUAUCAUUCCUAUAUUCCCCCUUUUUUACCUUUUCAAAAAGAAAUCCGUGAAUCUAACCUCCUUUGCUUAUUUUUCCCCCUGACCAUGACCAAUAACAACUUCUAACUAACCUCCUAAAUAAUGACAAACAUCCAUAACCCAUUGAACAACCAAAAACCUCCUACCCCACCUCUUGUGAAUGUUGGCAUUGUGGUCAUAAAAUUACUUCCUACUGUCUGGGGGCAAUAUCAUCUUUAGGGGACCCUGGAGAAAUUAAGAUAAUGAUCAAGUCCUGGGAGAACUAACUGUAUCAUUUCUUGUCCAGUUUCUGUGUGACAGUAAAGUACAGGGCUUAUCUGAAGUCUUGGUAAGAGUAAUCUGUGAGACUAGACCAUCCUAGCUAGCUGCUAUGAAGAUGUUCUAGAUGCAGACUUCUGAGGAGACUGAAACAGAGACAUUCUGAGAGGCUGAAUCACCUGGGCUACUUGUCUUCAUUGGUGUCUGGUCUUUUUUUCUGAAAACACACAAACUUUUAAAGGUAACAUAUAAAUCUGCAUUAGCCCAAGUAUGAAAUUGUGGUAUGCGCAAAUUAGCUAAAGGACAUUCUCUUUUCUAUGUUUGAGCAGGUAAAAUACACCUACUAACUUUAUAAGUCUGUUGGGACUCUAUAACCAAACUGUAAUAUAAAUCUCCAUCCAUGUCAUGUGAAGGAUGCCAUGUAGUAAUAAGUCAUGUGGGCCCUGUAGCUAACAAGAUUUAUCAUGUCUCAUCCAGUCUCAGAGCUAUUACCAUGAGAGAUCAGCUUAUACAUCACCUGUCUUGAGGUUCUUCUUGGUUUCUCUCUUCAUGUCUGCAGCCAAGAUUUUCAAAAGGUCUCCCUGACCAAAUCUGGUCUUUAUUAAUUUUGAAGGAAUCCAUAGCUUUUUGUUUCCUGUUGAAACAAAGGCAUAACCUCUCCCCCAACACAACACAUUUUCUGACCUCCAUUCUAGAGCUACAGGGAUGAUUUCAACAUACACAUAUCAGUAAAUGUAAUACGUCACAUGAAUGGCUUAAGGACAUAAGUCACAUGAUCAUCCCAACAGAUGUAGAAAAGGCAUUUGCAAAAUUUUAACAUUACCUCAUGAUAAAGAUUCUGGGGGGGGGGAGGUACUGGAGGUGGGGCUAGAGGAUUGUUCAAAGUAUGAGUACUUACCACACAUGUAUGAGGAACAGAGUUCAGGUCUCCAUGGCACGUAUGUAUCAGGAAUACCAGCUCACCUGUCACCUCAGCGCUCAGCAGGCAGAGAAAGGAGGAAACUGGCACUGGCUGGUUCACCAGCCCAGCUAAAUUGCCAAGCUCCAGGUUCAGUGAGAAACUCUGCUCCAGCAAAUAAAGUGGAGAAAAAUUAAGGAAGAAAUUCAACAUUAAUCUCCGGCCUCCACAUACAUAUGCAUACACGUACAUACAUCUGUGCAUCCGUAAGCAUGUAACCACACACAUAUAUAUGCAUACACAUGCAACACACUUGUGUAUCCACAUGCAUGUAAACACACACAUACAUAUGUAUGUAAGAAAAAGCCUUAGGAAAUACACACAACAAUCGUUUCGGCAAAACUAUACUAAAUUGGGAAAAACUCAAAUUAUUUCCAUUAAAAGCAGGAACAAGAGAAGGUAUUGGCUUUUGCCACUCUUACUCAAGAUAGUACUGGAAAACAUACUACAUGACAAAAGAUGCAAGGAAGGGGAGACAGACUGGAAAAGAAGAGGGCAAAAUAUCCUUAUUGGUAGGUGAUUUGUUUCUAGGCAUAGCAGAGCCAACAGACUCAACCAGAGAACUCUUAAAACAGAUAAGCACUAUCGGCAAAAUGGCGAGAUACAAAAUUAACAUACAAAUCUCAGUAGCCUUUCUACAUACAAAUAACAAACAUUCUGAGGAAGAAUUUAAGGAAAUAGUCCCAUUCAUGACUGUUUACAACUGCCGAAAGAACAAACAAAAAAGGAAAUAAAUUUAAUCAAGGAAUUGAAAGACCUCUAUAAAACCUUACAGUACUCAAGAGAGAAACUGAAUACGACACCAGAAGAUGGAAAAUGCCCCCAUGCUCCAGGAGGAGAAGAAACAAUACUGAAAAUAAAAAGGCUGACUUACCAAAAGUAGUCUACAGAUUUCAAUGCAAUCCCCAUUAAAAAAAAAAAACCUUCUUAAACAUUAUAUAUGUGUGUAUAAUAUGCAUGAUGUUAGAUAAUAUAUGUUAAAACUUACUUGAACACAAAUAUCCCAAGCAAUCCUGAACAUAUCACAAUAACUGAUUUCAAGUUCUAUUACAGAGCCAUAGAAAAACCAGAAUGAUAUUAAAUACAAAACAGACACAUAGGUAAACAUAUUCAGAAGAUUCAAAUAUCAACUCCUGCAGCCACACAUCCUGAUUUCUAACAAUGCUGUUAAAAAUAUACACUGGAAAGAAGUCAGCUCUUUAACAAAUGGUGCUGUGAAAAGCAGGCGUUUACAUGUAGAAAAAAAAAAAACUUGAUCCUUACCUCUCACCCUGAAGAAAAGCCAACUCCUAUGGAUCCAGGAACUCAACAUAAGACUACAAAGUCUGAAACUUCUAGAGGAAAAAGUACAGCAUACACUACAAGCUACAGUACAGACAAGAACUUUCUGAAUAAGACUGUAGUUGCUCAGGAAAUAAGGUCAACAAUCAACAAACAGACAUUGUGAGGUAAAAAAGAAUACUUACAGCAGAAUACAAACUGAGUGAAGAGGUAGCCUGUAGAAUGGGAGAAAAUGCUUGCCAGCUAUAAAACUGACAAAGGUUAAUAACUAUCCUAUACAACAAACUCAAUUAACUGCCUAACCAGCAGAAAACAAACAGCUUUAUUUAAAAAAAUAAAAAAAGGACUGAGGAACUUAACAGAGAGUUCUCAAAAGAAGAAAUAACGAAUGAACAAUGAAUAUUUGUUGAGAGAGGCAAAUAAAAACUACUUUGAGAUUCCAUCUCAAGACAAUCAGAAUGGCUGCCCUCUACACAACAAAUAACAACAAACGCUGCCAGUGAGGUGGGGAAAGGAAAGACUUAAUUCAUAGUCAGUGGAAGUAAACUCUAAGGGUCUGUCUUGUUUGCUUUCUAUAGCUGAGACAAAACAUCAUGACCUAAUACAGCUUGGAGAGGAGAGGGUUUCUUUGGCUUACACAUCCUGAGCACAUACAUUACUGGUGGAAGCCAGAGCAGAAACUGGGAGGUGGAACUGAAGCAGGACCAUGGAGGAAUGGCGCUUACUGUGUCCUAACGACCUUCUCAGGCUUUUUUUCUUAUAUAACUCAGUGGCCACCUGCCACUGUCACCGGUUUGCUAGGCCUGUCCAUGUCAAUCAGAAAUCAAGAAAUGUUCAAUGACAUCUUCCAGAUUGAGGUUCCCUCUUGUCAGAUGACCCAAGUUGUGUCCGACUGACAAAAAAACGAACCAGCACAGGGGCUGAUCAAUACUUUAGGCUGCCAAGGUUUAUCAUUUAGAGACCACAUAUUCCCAAAGAAGAGAAAGUUAUUAUUAUAAUUGUCAAGAGGUAAAAUAAUAAUAAUAAUAAUAGUGAUUUUUCAGCUGUCUCCAGGCACCCAGUCAAAUUUAUUCACAAAACCUUUCACAAAAAAAGAGAGAAAACAAAAUAACUGAAGAAUUCUCAGUGUAUUGUCUCAGUAACAAUUAAUUUAGUUCACCAUACUUUUGUACCACUAACCAUUACCUCACCACCCACUCUCCUUUACCUAUUAAUUUCUAAUUGACCAUUAACUUCUACAUCAGUGGAAACUUGAGAAACCUGACACCUAACUGCACUUAUAUAACUCAUAAUGUUGACAUCAAGUACCUACCAUGCACCUACACCACUGUUAAACAUAACAAUCAAAUUCAUUCUGAGAUUCCUUGUAGCCAAAGCAAACACAGAAAGAUAUUAGUUCUUGUGAUGAAUAUGAUGCCCUUUGAAAUAUGUUGUAAUUAUUCCAACACUCUCUGAGAUAAGAAUCUAUAUCUUUUAUAUUUGAAAUGAAGAAAUAUCUUUGCAGAGUUAAACUGUUUAUCUUAACUCAAAACCUAAUGAGUAGGUUGGCUUGACAAUACACACCCAUAAUCUCAUUACUGGGAAGGCUAAGACAAGAGAAUCACAAGUUCCAAUCCAAUCUGGGCUUCAUGGGAGACCCUGUACUAACAAAACACCACAAUAAAACAACUAAUAAGUGUGAAAGCUUAUAUUCAACUCCAGUCUAAUAUUAAUGCCCACAUCAGGCCACUCAUCAUCCCACACACAAAUGGGAGCAGAGCUUUCUCCCACCUCUCUUAGGUCAUACCAACAUCCAUGUACAUGUGUUGAAACUUUUAGUUAAUGAAUGUGUUCCCUGUACAUGAAGAUUUAUCCUGGCAUGCAGCUCUGUAGGUAAUUGCUUACAUGCUAAAAGGGUCAUGAACAUACACAGGCUUUAGGACCCUAUAGACUUAGGUUAGCAUUAAGUCCCUAUAUGUAUCUAGUUCCCUCAACUAUGAAACAAGGGUAUGAUAAGGGAGCAAACAAACAAAACUUUUGUUUUACUUUGACUAUAAAUAAAACUCACAAUUGGUAUCAAAGUUUUCUAUGGGGUUAAUAGUUUAAUUGUCAUAUUUAAGGUGGCUUUCAAGCAGGUAAGUCUGAUAGAUGUAUAUGCCAUUUUAACAGAGUGAUAAAUAGUAAGACACAACUGUAACAGGAAUCUGAAAAAGUUCUUAUUAAUAAAAUCAAACCUGAGCCAGGUAUUGGGGUGUACGCUGGAAGAUCAGAGAGACAGAACAGGCCACAGCCACCUCACCUCACCAGUUCCUCAGCUGAUCCUGUUUCCUCAGACUGGAUGCCUCUGAGUCCUCAUCCAGAAUGAAUCUCAGCUAAACUGCUACUCACAGCCUGAAAGCUUAACCAGGCAAAUGCUGCUAGUUUCUGGUCUUCACACCUUAUAUAUCUUUCUGUCUUCUACCAUCACUCCCUGGGAUUAAAGGCUCACUUCUGGGAUUAAAGGUGUGAGUCACCAUGCUUCGUUGUAUCCUUGAACACAUGGAUUUCUGCCUCUGGAAUGCUAGGAUUAAAGGAGUGUGCUACCACUGCCUAACUUCUAUGUUUAAUAUUGUGGCUGUUCGGUCUCUGACUCCAGAUAAGUUUAUUAGGGUGCACAAUAUUUUGGGGAACACAAUACCACCACACACAACAAAUGGCCUUUGUAUUUUUAAGGGCAAUAACUUGUAGGAGGUUCCCGGGGGGUGGAGUAGGGCUGAAGAAAUGACUCAGCAGCUGAGAAUACUUGCUGUACUUCCAGAGCAUCCAAGAUCAGCUUCCAGACUCACAAUGACCUGUACCUCCAUCUCCAAGAGAUCCAGUUCCUUCUUCUGGACUCUGUAAGCCCCUGCACCAGCACACAUGUAGCUUUCACACAUGCACUCACCCAUGUGUGUGCUCACACACACACACACACACACACACACACACACACACAUACACGCACACACAAAUAAAAAUAAUAAAAACGAAUCUUUUAGAAAGUUUCAGUUUGAAGCUAAUCUAAUGAAAAAAAAAAAUAUGAGCAAGCUGUGUUAUACAAACCUCUAUCAAAGCUGACCUUCUCCUGCCAACAUAAUAGUUGCUUGUAUACUGUGUCCUGUGUCGGGUAGAGAAAAGAGAGUUUCUUGGCUCUCCAGAGGGAUGACAGAAUGUUCUUUUGGACUUCCUUUUAACUACACUUGGCACAAAGCAAUCACAAUGCUAAGGUGACACCAGCUUGAUCUCUUCAAUGCCAACACAACUGAUCAAGCGUUAGGACUAGAAGGUCCACGUGGGAGAGAUCUAACCAAGGGUGGGUGCUGAAUUAGCACUGCCAUCAUCAAAGUAAUCCCACCAGCUUUGACCCUGUUGGGAAACUACUAAGAAAGAAAGGGUAAAAACACAGUCACUAGAGGGAAAUUCAAGUUCUCCACAGGGUUUUCCAUUAUUCUUUUACCAAAGUAAAAUUUAACCUCUUAACCAGAUCAUAAUUCGCACUCUUCCUGACUAGUGCUAAGGAAAUGAGGCUGCACCCUUCUCAUUCUGAUUUUCCCUGAACAUUCCCAGCAGGCACAGCGUGCUUUCAUGGCCUGAUCCUCUCUCACCCUUUGGUCAUCUCAGCAAACCAGCCAGGUCCCAGCAACACAAUUCCUUUUCAAAGUUCCACUUCUCCUGGAAGCAUGAGUUCAAAGGAAAGCCAUGUGUCCAGCUUCCCAGGACAACGUUCACAGUUGCAAACCUUCAAAAUGGCCUGAUAGGGGAAAGUGGGCCUGCCAGGCGCUUCUGACUCCGGACUCCUGCCUUUGAAGUGUAGUUUGAAACAGUAGCAGCUCUCCACUUCACACUGGCUCUUUCUUGGGAGUCAAAACAGAGCGGUGUAGCAAAGAGAAGCCCCUUAGAUCACCGCCAAGGCACAACUGUGAGUAAGCACGCAAUGCAGUCCUCAGGCCCUGCUUAGAGCUCAUGCCAACCACUCUGUAAAGGGAAGACAGGAUCACAUGGCCACACCCAUGCACCACCAAAGAACCUGUGUUCACCAAACUCUGCCACAAAGAAAGUGAAAAACAGCUUUGUCUCAGGAUUCAGGUUUUGGUUUUAGCAUGUUUUGUUUUGUUUUGUUUUGUUGUAUUACCUUAGUUCCCCAGUAGUCUACAAGGUGAUCUUAAUUUCCCAAGGGGAAAAAUGUCAGUGAAUAACUGCAUCCUCUCCUGCCACCCAGUUACUAUGUUCUCCACAUCACCACCCCAAUCAUUUAGAUCUGCUUCCUUCCUAAGUCAUGUGUUUGAUAAAGAUUGUUUUCAUUGAAUAUGGCGUGCUGGAAUCAUUUCACCACCAGUCAAAUAAUGUUACCUUCAUUUUUGACAAUUCAUCUGUUUGUUGUGAUACUGAAUGUACUAGUUUCCACAGAUAUUUUAGAUUAAAGGAUGGAGGAGACAGAGGUAGGAAAAAGAAAUAUUAGUAGACUUCUGGUGAAAAGAACAAUGUUUGUCUGCCACAGAGCCACCUUGUACAUUUGCAUGGUAAGGGUGUUAAGAAACCUUUCAUGGAAGAAAUCUGUUUAGCUAGCACUUUCUUGAAUUUAUUAAAUAAAGAUACACCUUCUGGUUGAAUAAUAGCUGCCAAAAAGAGCCAACACCGCAGUCCAGUUAAUAACAGAGUUCUUAUGCAUAGGGCAAUAUCAUCAGAAUUUUGGAGGAAAUGUCCUGGAAAGAAACAAAACCUCUGAGAAGUCUUUGUGGCCUCGUGGCUAUGGGUAGGCCUAAUGAAGUCCUCUAGAAUUCCUGCCUUUCUUCUUUUUCUCUAUUUUUAAAGCAAGGUCUCACUGGAUACACACUGUGCUAACUACCUGGAAAGAUGCAGGCAAAGUCUAUUCAACCCAGAAAAAUAUACAUUUUUUUUUAAACUUGGGAGCACAGUGAACUAUGGUCCAGGAUGAUCAAAGACCAUCAAAGCCACCCUCAUCAAGUGGCUUCUGGGUCCUUUGUCUCAUGAGCUUGGAGAAUGACUUUUACAGAUAACAGGAGGGUAAGUUUUCUAAAGCAUUUAUUAUAGGUUUCUAGGUGAGAGGUAAGAGAAAGGACAUAAGCAGAGCUCCUGCAUUUCAGGAGCAAGUUCCAAAGAUGGAUUGCCACUGAGAGUACCUAGAGGUUAAAUAAGGGUUUAAAUAAUGUAGAGCGAUGAGCUAGUCAGUCCAAUUACCCCACCUACAGGGUAUUCAUGUGCCUCUCCAUCCCAGGCAUCUGGACGCGAAUUUCACUAAACCCUCACAUUUGGCUUUCAGAGUAUUGUGUUCCUUUAGGUUUCCUCUUAAAUGGAGAAGAAAGGUAACAAGAAGCCAGAGCACAAGCAAGUGCCCCUAAACAUCUCUGGUAUUUCUCUCCUCUGGCCUGGAUGGAAUUGCUAACAUUACCAAAGACAUUUCUUUCUGAUUGCUGGAUUCCAACCAAGGAUAAGAGACAGAUCCACUUACAUGUGGUGUCCCCACUCAAAACACUGCCUGACAGAUAUCAAUAGGGCCCUGAAGACAGACCAAGUACAAUUCCCCCCAAAGUCUAACUUAGCAAACCAAUUAGAGUAUUGGGCUUUCUUAUGGAGCACAGGUGAGGAGUUACUUACAGGAAUUUGAGGAGGUUGUCCUCAAAGCAGCUAUACAACUUUGAAGUUUUACUAUAUAUCAGGUGGAGGAUGAUUUCAGGGUAGCUGAAGCACUGGGUCCCAUUUCAGGUAACCUACUUCUUCCUAAGCACUCUAGCACUCCCCAGGAUCACUUGCAGCUUAGAGGAGGGAAAGAAGGAGUUAAAAUGGGGACACAAAUGGUACCCAGACUACUUCUCCCUCUUUUAAACAGCAUUUCCCCUUAGUUUUCUCUUGCAAGCAAAACAAACACAAGCACUUAUUUGUCUUUGCCCAUCAUAGAGCCAACAGAAUUCCCAUCAAGGGGAGGGAGUAACCCUCUUCCAGAGGAAACCCCAGAGUGCUCUCACAGCACUGGCCUCACCAUGCCAUUCUGCCUUGACGCGUCCUCUCAAAGUCCAUUCCUUGCCACUGCCUGCACAACUGAGACCCAUUUGCAUCAAAGAAAAGGACUUGGCUUUCGUCCUGGUUACUCAUAGCUUGAAAGAGUGCUUACUCCUUGGUUUAGUGCUUUUUUUUCUCGUACUCUGCUCACCUCCCAUCCCUGUCCUCUUGCCUCCAUCGAUGAGAUUUUGGCUUUCCCUCCGGCCGACAGACAACAUUUCUUCUCCACUCUUCUGUAGUUCUCCAGAGAAAUAUAGGGGAACAAAAAAACCCUUCCCCUUGCUUCCACGGGCACACCAGUUCCUCAUGUCUGCGUUCACGGGCACACAUGAGGAGAACACUGUCCCUACAAUGUGCACCUGUGGUAGAGGGCAGUGUCUGGUAUGUGCUUGGAACAAGACCUUAGUCCACUUCGGAAGAAGCAAUCACCAGAAAGCUCAAGUUGAGCACAUUGUGAAUUGUCAAGGCUUUAGACUCUCAAAUGGAUUCUCCUAGGCUGAAUUCAACAACAGUGAUUCAUGUCAGACAAGGGCUGAAUCGUAAUUUCAGUUGUGCAACACCUGACUGGUGGCAACUGGUGGACUCCGCAUGUAAGGUAACCAGUUAGAGCCACACCCUGUGUGAGGAAGAAGAUAAAACUACUGCACAGCACUACAUGAAACAAAGGCAGAUGCUGUAACAGACCACCUGGGCACAAGUUAUUAAUGAAAUUUCAGAUCAUGCCACUAGAGAGCUUCAGAAGAUGCCUAUCUAUGUGUUUUUAGAGGAAACCCAGUAUCUCAGUGGAGAAAUAGUUCGGCUCUCAGCUUGCUAAUGUGUGGAAAGACUGACAGAGAUAAAUGUAAAGAGCAUCUUUGUGAACACUGUGCUGGAUGGGAAUUUGGCAGGACUGACGGGACUUAGGAAAUGCGUCUAGGUUUGUCUUUACCAUAUAAGUGAGUUUAGAAAGUUGGGAAUGCAGGAAGAGCAUUGCAUGAAUACGUAAGAUUCCAAAAGAUCACUGCACACAGAGAUACUGAGAAAUGUCCAUGAACAUAAUUGUGACGAAUGAGGCCGAGAUUAAGGGUGAGCAGACAGAAACACAUGGCACACUAACAAAAAUUCAGAAAACAAUCAAUCACAAAAGCAGUGGUCCAAGCCUAAUCCCAAGGGCACACUCUUGGAUGAGCCGCUGAAAAUGUCCCUCUAACAGAAUUCAGUGACGUCCUGCUUGUCACAGUCAGCCUUCUGCUGACCAAGUUGACCCUAAUUUGUUUCCCCUCCAUUCCUAUGCCAACCCUUUAUGUCCUACCCCAUCCCUGAAGCCUCAUCCUCCUGGGCUGGGAAUAAGCCUGAGCUCUGAGUCCUCUCUCUUCUUUCUGGUACCAGAGCUGUGACUUUUUAGUCCCUUGCUUUUGUAUCAUAAAGGCUACCUGGAAAACAGGACCCCAAGAAAGACACAGGGAUCGCCCAGUGACGGAGAAAUGGAAGAGAUCUACAUGAACAGCCUGGACAUGAGUGGAGGUAAUGAAGGGCGAGGGUCGAGGGAAAGAGAGCUUGGGGGAGCGGGAGAUCCCAGCUGGAUCAACAACAGAGAGGGAGAACAAGGAAUAGGAGACCAUGGUAAAUGAAGACCACAUGAGAAUAGGAAGAAGCAAAGUGCUAGAGAGGCCCACAGAAAUCCACAAAGAUACCCCCACAACAGACUGCUGGCAAUGGUCGAGAGACAGCCCGAACUGACCUACUCUGGUGAUGGGAUGGCCAAACACCCUAAUUGUCAUGCUAGAAACCCCAUCCAAUGACUGAGGGAUCUGGAUGCAGAGAUCCAUGGCUAGGCCCCGGGUGGAGUUCUGGGAGUCCAAUUAGUGAGAAAGAGGAGGGUUUAUAUGAGCGAGAAUUGUUGAGACCAAGGUUGGAUAAAGCACAGGGACAAAUAGCCAAACGAAUGGAAACACAUGAACUAUGAACCAAUGGCUGAGGGGUCACCAACUGGAUCAGGCCCUCUGAAUGGGUGAGACAGUUGAUUGGCUUGAUCUGUUUGGGAGGCAUCCAGGCAGUGGGACCAGGUCCUGUGCUCAUUGCAUGAGUUGGCUGUUUGAAACCUGGGGCUUAUGCAAGGAUGCUUGGCUAGGCCUGGGAGGAAGGGACUGGACCUACCUGGACUGAGUCUACCAGGUUGAUCUCAGUCUGCGGGGGAGGCUUUGCCCUGGAGGAGAUGGGAAUGGGGGGUGGGCUGGGGGGAAGGUGAGGGGGGCAGGAGCGGGGAGAACAAGGGAAUCCGUGGCUGAUGUGUGGAACUGAAUUGUAUUGCAAAAUAAAAAUAAAAAAAAGAAUAGCUAUUACUUGAAAAUUGUAUUAUUGUAUAUAAUUUUGUUGAAAUAAAGGUGAUAAAACUUAAAAAAAAAAAAAAAGAGUGCUAGGCCCUGCCUUGGCUCGUGGCUUUCUGCUUAGUAUUAUUUUCUGAUUUUUAUUUUUAAAAUAAUACAUUGUCAUUGCUGAAAAUCUGAAAACUAUAGAGAAACACAAUGUGGAAAUAUCUAAAUCACUCCCAGAGAGCCAUAGUUUAUGCUAUCUCUGUAAAAAUUUUGUAUGAACUGAUUGAUAUAAAAAUGGAUUCAUGCUGUAGGUACUUGCUGUAUAAUAAACAUUUUCUUGUUCUUACUCCCCGUGUAUUACAGAGUUUAUAUUGAUGACUGUGGAUUCUAGCUUUUAUUUACAUCCUCGAUGUGCUUAGUAGGUCUCAUCAAUAGACGUAAAACUGAAAAUAUUUACAGGCCACAAACAUUGCCUUAGGUUUGCUCGGUAUCCUGCGUCACAGUUCUUCAGAAAAAAAAAGUCAGUGUCCUCUGCUUUAAGGAAACCAAGCACAUGAUUAGAAAGAAUUUUAUAAAAUUUGGAACAAUUGCUAGUUUUGUUUUAAAUACCUUUCUAAUGGCGUAAAUGUCUUAUCCAAAGUGGUGAAAUUAGUAGCAAGUGAGAAAUCAGAUUUCUGUCCCUCUGACCUAUCUCUUCUUCCAGUUGUCUAGAAAAGCACAGGGACACAAGAGUAGAUCCACACCAAUAUAAGAGCUCCCCUCACUAUACAAUGAUGAAACUGAGGUUCCAAGGAAGCAAAUUGCAUCUCUACGGCUUUCUUGCCUCAAGCAGGGGCAGGGAAAGAGUCUCAAACAAUAACUAACAGAGCCUUGGAGUCCUUUAUCUCACAGACUUGAAAAAUGAACUUCAUGGUCAAUGGGAAGGUGAGGGUUUUUUUUAUUUUUUGGUUUUUGUUUGUUUGUUUCGAGGUAAAAUACUUUAUUAUUUAAAAGGUUUUUUUUUUCAUCUUACAUACCAACCACAGUUCCCCCUCCGUCCCCCCUCCUCCUGCUCACCUCCCGCCUUCCCCCCACCACACACACCCACACCCAUCCACUCCUUAGGGAGGGUAAGGCCUCCCAUAGGGAGUCAACAAAGUCUGGCAUAUCAAGUUGAUGCAGGACCGAGCCCCGAGCCCCUAUAUCAGGGAGGGUGAGUUUGAGAAAAAAAGUGUAUAUGAGAACUUAAUAAAAGGAAGCAAGUUCCUGUACAGCAAGAGUUAGUUCUAGGAAAGGCUUGCCACCCAGGGUCUGACUAUAGAGACUAACAGGGUGUUACUGGGUGGAGGAAUUAGAGGGAGGGUAGUGAGCUGGUCAGUUUUCUCACUCACCAGGUGUUGAAGGUGUUGAUGUACCUUUCCCAUCCUAGCGUCUGGCAUUUCAGGCACUUUCUGAUGAAACAUAGCUUUUGGUUAGCUCUUCUCAUUAAAGCUGCUCUUUAAAUGGAGAAGAAGAAAAAGAAAACAGAACACAGACCAACAUUUCUAGACACUUCUGGUAUUUCUGGCCUCCAGCAAGGAAAAAGCUGCUAAUAGAACCAAGAGUAUUCUCAGCUUCUGGCCAACAGGGUACUGAUUUGCAAGGACAAGUGGCAGGAUUAUUGGGGUUUUUUUUAGGUCCCCACUCCUGUACUCAUCAAAGGGAAAGAGACGCUCAAGAAGAAAGCAAGAUGCAUCCAAGAAAAUGGGUGUCAGCUCCUCAAAGGGAGUUGCAAUUCAGUGUGCCAAGACCACUGUGCCAGUCUAUAUGUGUAGAUAGGCUGUGUGCUACUAUCUAAAGUCUCGAGAACAGAUACCUGUCCUGAGGACCAUCUUCCUGUCGAUAUGAUUGACAGGCCCAUUUGGGUUAGCAUUUAAGUGAGGACUAUAAUGUGUCUUUCCCCUUUACCAGCAAGUAUCCAUAGAUAGUGAUCUUAGGACCCUUGGGGCAACUUAAAAUCUCCAUCCAGAUCAAAGAUACAACUCAGAUCCUGUUGUUUUGUCUAAAAUUCAUGUAAAUGAAAUAAAGAAAAAUAAAAAGAAAUAAAUCUAUGACAGCUUGACAGGAGGUAGUGGCCUUGCUUUCAUGAGCAUCAAUGAAUCCCUCUUCCUUCCUUCCUUCCUUCCUUCCUUCCUUCCUUCCUUCCUUUCAUAAGGUAUUUUAAGUCUUCAGGAAAGGCAAUUAUGCCUCUCCCUGUUUCAUAUUCUAAGAAGGGGCACUUUCUUAUGCAUUCCAUUUCUUUAAAAUUAAUGUGUUAGCCAGAACACAAGAGGUAGUGUCUAAAAUUGAUCAUGAGAGGUAAUGAUUUUCAAGUCUCCUAAUUUCUAACUAGCUGUUUAACAUUUAGACCUAAAUGCCCUGUACAAAAAUCUUAUUUUUCUCUAGGUGGUGAUGGCGCACACCUUUAAUCCCAGCACUCGGGAGGCAGAGCCAGGUGGAUUCUGUGAGUUCAAGGCCAGCCUGGUCUACAGAGCAAGAUCCAGGACAGGAACCAAAACUACACAGAGAAACCCUGUCCCCAAGAAAGAAAAAUCUUAUUUUUCCACAAUGCUGGUUUUGUCAUGCCACAUCUGUUAACUCACUAAAAGACCAUCAGAAUAAGCAGUUUGUGAUGCUAAGUUUAUUAAAGUCACUGCAGAGGCACAUAUGCCAGGAGUAAAAGUCAAAAGGACUGACUCAGAGGAUGAAAUGGGCAGAAACUAUUGACAGGGUCUGUUGUUCUGAUCUCUGGCCUUCUUAUGUAGGGACCUGAUCAGAAACAGGUGUACAUGGGGCUAUAAAAAUGGCAAGGGAAGAUGGUUUUACUUGCAUACAGGAGGGAUUCUAAUUUCUCCCCACCCGUGUCCAUGGCUAUGUUACUGUAGCAAUGAAGACCAAUUAAGAAAAAUCUCUUUCAGGUCAAGAGAAUACAAUUUCAGGCCUAGGUGGAGAACUGACAAUCACCUGACUGAGAAUUAACCCCUAGGAAGGCAAAAUCAACUUAAGCCUUGCCAAAGAGUCAUCCUGGGCCAAACCCAACCCAAAUGCAGGUCAAACCUACAGGCCAUCAGUAUGCAUAACUUUUGCAUAACAUCAAGUCCUUGAUUCCCACUGUGGUUGGCGCUUUUGUUUCCAGGCUGGGAAAACAAGCUAUUGGCUUCUCCCUACGGGAUGUCUGCUGGGUGGAUAACCCUUGAACAGUGACAGAACUGGAGAGUCCCUGUUGGAACUCCACAGGGUAGGUGACUGCUUUGUCUCCUGUGACCUUAAUGCCUUAAUCCACUGGUCCUAACGCGGUUCCACUCCUUAAUAUGGGGCGUGGAUGAAGCACUCUAAGGAGGCCCUGACAUUCUCAUCAGCGUGGCGUCUUUUAAGCCUGUGGUUUUAGGAUGACCUCUUUCAGCAUGGUACCAUCAGACUCCUGUUCAGCUGGUUGCAGCAAGCUUCAGAUGACCUCCUCUUACCCUCUUGUCACCUCAGUGACAGAAGUGCCAAAGAUAAGGCAUGCAAACCAGAAACACAAGGGUCUAGAGCCAGCAAUGAGAAGAGUGGCCAAGCAAGUGACAGGGCCAUAAACUAACUCACUCUUUCAACUUAGACUUAAGUGAACAAACCUCUUCCAUUGGGCUUGAUCAGCCACCCGAUGACUCCACCCACGGCCACUGCUGCCUCCUUCAUCCACUAGUGGGCCAGUUUCACAGGCCCAUGCUCUGUCUUCAAUUUCUUAAUUCUCUCUUGAGCCUAUCUUUCCUCUAAGUGAAGUCUGCUGGGAAAACUGAAUAUGCACAUAAGCAGAAAAGUCAUGUGGACAAAAAGAGAAAACUCUGCAUUUUUGUACCUUUAAGAGGGGAGAGAAAUACUUUCUGUUAUAUAUGCAAGCUAGGGAGACCCAUUAGGUAAGAAGCUAUUCAAGAUGGUUUUCCUUGUUAGCCUAGGCUAGCCUUCAACUCCCUAUGUAGCUGAUGAUUACCUAGAAUUUCCGAUCGACCUGCCUUUACCACCCAAGUGUUGUUAUUACAGGCAUGGGCCAUGUCACCCAGUUUUGUUCAUGGCAAUUCUCCAGUUUUUCUACAGACAUCAAUUUGCUGUCUUACAAUUUAAUCCAGCUCUGGCAGAGUUGGAGCCUUGGUGCCAACCCUACAGGGGAAGGCCAGACUUGCCAGACUGCCCCUGUUUCAGGUCCCCAACACAACAAGGUGGACUUCCCUUUUGACUUACGACUGAGGGAAGCCAGGGCAAGAACUCAAGGCAGCAACCUGAAAAAAAAAAAAAAGAACUCGAAGCAGAAGCCAUGGAGGACCACAGCUUGCUGACUUCCUUCCCCUAGCUUUUCCUGCUUGCUUUCUUACACAGCUCAGGCCCGCCUGCCUAGGGAUGGCACUGUUUACAAUGGGCUGGGCCCUUCUGCAUCAAUUAGCAAUUAAGAAAAUGCCUCACAGACAUGGCCACAGGCCAAUCUGAUGGAGGCAGUUUUUCAGUCGAGGUUCCUCUUCCCAGGUGACUGUAGGGUUGUGCCAACUUGACAGCUGAAGCUAAUUAUGACACUUACUAUCACCGGUUUAUGAUAAAGGGCACAGCUCCAAAGCAAACACACAGAGGAGAUUAUGGGGCAGAGUCAGGGAGGGUGUUUUUCAGGUGCUCGCGGAGGUUUCUAGUGCACCACCACUUAGGUUAAGCCCUCCUGGAGUUGUCUGCUAUGCUUUGGAAGUGUCCCUCAAAGGCCCAUGUGUUGAAACUCGAUCACUAAGUGCUGGCACUAUUGGCAGGUGACUGACCCCAUCGCAAGUGAGGCCUAGUAGAGGAAGUGUGACCUAGGCCAACCUCUGCUUUCUCUCUGCUUCUUGGCUUUUGUGAGGCAAGUGUCUUUGUUCCACAAUGUGCUGCACACCAUGGCAUGCGACAGGACCAGGAGCAAUGAGCCCGACUAAGCAAAGACCGAAACCUCUGUGUCGAUAGCCCAAAGUAAACUCUCUCUUUUUCACUUAUCUCAGGUACUCAUUCAUGUGUGGAAAGCCAAGAUCAAUUACACACGCUAUGACAGAAGAGCUCAGGGCAACCAGCUCCCAGGACCCAAGAUUUUCCCACUAGCAUCAACCCUGGUAGGGGCAAGAGGGGUUUGUUACACAUAAGGAAAGAUGUUCCUCUCAACUCUGCCUCCUCGGGGAAUCUCAGGGGUCUUCGAAGCUGCGUGCCAAGAACCAGGAGCUAUUUUUUGCGGCUGUUACAGCUCUAACAGUUUUCUUGUCCCCGUCAGCAGGAGGCCCAGCAUUUUCAUUUCACAGUGAACCUUACAAAUUAGAAAUCAUAUGUAACCUACAGAAAUUGUGGCUUUGGUGGGCCACAGGAGAGGUGUCCAGCCUUCCUAAACCCAAACCACAACCCUUCGACUGUACUAUGAUGGAUACCAUCCUCACUCAGUAGAUGCAGGACAUUCACUUGCCAAAUUCCACCAGGAGCUGGGAACCCACUGAGAUUUUCCCAGGAGGCAACUGGUGCCAUUCUCUCUGUGGCUCUGGGAAGAUAGUGACUCUUUGGAGUCCACAGCUUCUCUAACUAGAGGGGAACCCUCAGAACCAGGCCCAGGGCAGAUGGCACAUAUCACCCUCAGGAGCAGUGGCCCCCACACAGGCCUCACCUGAAUGGAGCCUCACACAGCAUUUCUCCCAGUGCCGCUGCAUGGUGUUGCUGAUCCAGCCUCCUGUGAAGAUGCACAGACCUCAGAGUCGGGAGCAUACAAGCGCUGGAGCUUCAUUUCAUGAUGGGACUUCCUAUCCCAUGGCUUAGGAAGGGCUAUUUCUGUUGAACAAGUGAUUAAGUAUUUCCAAAUGAAACAUUUUUGAAAACGUAAGAGUGAUGUUUUUCAUCUUGGGCCUCCUUCGCUCAGUUUCCGUGGUUCAGCAGCGCCACCCAGUGUUAAAAACAUUUCCGUGAGAAAAUUCUCCCCUUUGCCUUGUGAAAGUGAACCUGGGAGUGUCUUUGAGCAUCACAUGAGAAGAAAAUGGGCAUCCACAGAAUGGAUAACAAUACGCCUGGGCAGUUCAGAAAAGUUCUGACCUAGAAUGCCACCAAGAUCACCCAGGAAACAAAAGGACUUUCCAGUCCCACCCAAUUAAUAACAGGGGGCAAGCCAGAACUAGCCCAGUACCAAGUAGUCAGUAGCAUCCCGACAGUGAGGGCCAUAAAGACAAGAUCAUGUGGAUGACAGGUCAGUCAUGGCUGGACCAGAUCUCAGAGAUGACAUCUUUCACUUUAUACAUGAACUAAGACUAAGCAAAACUUCACAAUAUGCACAAGUCCACAGCCAAUGACUUUGUAGCUCAGAUAAAAGUGUGUACCAUUCACCUCCUGGGUCAUCAUUCUCCUCCAAAAUGUCAAAACUCAAGAUGACCUAGUGUGACAGUCCAUAAAGAAGUAUAUGGGAAAGGUAAGAAUAAAAACAGCUGGGAGGCAGAGGCAGGAAGAUCUCAAGGAGCCAGCCUGGGCUACAGAAUCAGAUAUUGUCACCAAAAAAAAUGAACAAGAAAAAAAAGGAAGAAUAUAUUUCUCAUCUCUAUGUCUUUUUUGAAACUCUAAUGUUAAAAUUCUUAAUGUUUGGAAAUAACAGAGCUCUCUAUAUAAAAUUAAUUAGAGAUAAAAACCAAGUGCUAGAAAUAGCUUGUUAUGCUAAAAUGAAAGUAGAGGCCGUGGAUAUGAAGCAAAUCAAGAGAUGUGCUGGAGACUCUCACAGGCUGGGUCCUUGUUCUGUGAUAAUCUGUUCUUUGUAUAGGAAAGGCCGUCCUUGAUCAGGGCCAGAGCUUAGACAUUUGCUUUCCCAACAGAAGUUACAUUUACCCCACGAUGUUUAGAAUGUGUUAUGUUUCCUAAUGAGUGAAAAGCAAGUGUUGUGAUGGAACCUAGCAACAUGGACAUGGAUGGAAGCCCUAUUGUUCAUCACCUGCACAGUUGGUCAACUUCCUUAGCCAUCAUGGUUCCUGAUGGCUUUAAUCUUUAACAGUGUGUGUGUGUGUGUGUGUGUGUGUGUGUGUGUGUGUGUGUGUAUGAGGUAAAGGAGUCAAAUCUCUUUCCACCCUGUGAGUUCUAGGUAUAGAACUCAAGCUUGGUAGCAAGUGUCUUUACAAGCUGAGUCAAUUCACAGGCACCUCCUCCUGACAUAUCUUUAAAUAUAGCAAUUAAUGAAAAUAAGAUCAAGUUCACGGUACCCAGUAUUCAACUGAGAAUUGUUUUCUGACAUUAUACUGUAAGAUUCUCUAACAUGCAGAAAAAUUGGAAACAUUUUCCUAUAUGCAUAUACCAUCUCACUUCUGCAAUUCUUUUUCACUACACUGGAUUUAUAACAAUACAUGUAUCUACUAUGCCCAUUCACUGGUGAACCUGUUAUUUGUAAGUACACCUCACAAGCUCAAACAUGAGUAAUUUUCUCCAUGACAUUUUAUUUUGGAAGUAAAACUCACAUGUAAUGAAACACAUUCUCUCUCUCUCUCUCUCUCUCUCUCUCUCUCUCUCUCUCUCUCCUUCUCUCUCUCAUUCUUACUCUCUUGCUCUUGUUCCGUGUGUGUGUGCAUGCAUGCAUAUGAAUGAAUGUGUGCAUGUGCACAUGUGUGUGCAGGUGGAGGCCAGAGGUCAUUCCUCAGAAGCUGUCCGCCUUGGUUUUUGAGACAAAGUCUCUUACUGGGCCUCACCAAUUAAGCUAAGUCGACUGAUCAGCAAGUACAAAGGAUCCACCUGUCUCUGCUCCCCCAGCACUGUGACCGCUUGCUCACACCGCUGUGUCCAGUGUCUUCUUAUGUGGGUUCUGGUGAGAGAAUUCAGGUCCUCCUAUUUGUGCAGCAGUGCUUGAUGACUGAGCUGGGACCCCACCACACAAAUAACUCAAGUGUACCAUCUGGAGAGUUCUGAACAGUGCUCACACUCUACAACCCAAGCCUCUCUCGUGGCACCUGGAGCAUUGAUGCCACCCCCUAGAAUGUUUCCACAUGACCCCUUCCGGUAAACUCCUGAGCCAACAACCAAAGUGCAACCGCCACCCAGACUCCUCACCAUGCAUUAGUUUUGCUCCCAUCAAAAGCUGGCCCGAUGGGACCCAGAGCCUGUGUUCUGUUAAGUGGAGGCUCUCACUCAUUAACCAACAAGAUUACACCCAGACAGGUACAGUCUCCAUUAGUGGUUGCUGCUGGCUUCCUAAGAAGUGUCACAUCUAUAAGAUGACAAACGCAAUCCCACAUACAAAUCAAGACUCUUGUGGGAUAGUGCAUCAGUCUGUCUUUUUCUUUCCUUAAGAUUUAUAUAUAUUAAUUAUACGCAAUAACGGGUUUCAUUGUGCAUUGUAAUAUAGGCAUCUAAAGUAUUUUAAUAAUAUUCACGCUCAUUACCCUCCCUCAUUCCUCUCCACUCUUGGUGAUUCUCUUACCAGUCUGUCCCUUUUGUAUUUUCAUCUGUUCUUUUAGCCUAUCAUUUUUGCCUUGACAAUGAAGAGUUUGACCGCUAGAUGGCAGGAGGAACUCAUUGUAUCAUAUCCACUUCAGUGCGUAGCUCACUCCCUGUUCGCCUAUCUUGACGUUUGAUUAAAAACAUAGGUGCAAACAACAAUCAAGAGUGGCCAUAUUGAUGACUAGAAUUUAUGCACGGGAAAACUAAUAAGCAACUGAAGAAAUCCACAGAGGAGGCUAAUUACUAGAUGAGAGAUUCUUGAGUGUCUGUGCACCUGUUCGAGGGCUCUGGGCAGCUUCGGAUGGGGGUAUAGGGUGUGCUAGAUGAUGUGCCUCUGAGGACUGAUUGUGGAGUGCUGACUGCAGUCACAUAGUGAUAGCUAACAGCGUUCAGAGGAAGGACUUUCACAUCUGCUUUAAAUAAAAUACUGUGAAAAGCUAGCGUAUUGACUCCAUCUCCACUGUCAAAUUAUGAUUUAAAUUCACAAGAAAGUAGACAAAGUGUGGAAGGCUUGCAUCUGGACCAUCAUAAAUAGCAUUAGCCACAUAUAAAAAUGAUUGAAGAAUUCAGAACACCCAGAGAGAAGUUAAGGGAAGGUGCCAGGGGCCAACUCAUAAUUUGUGGCAUUGAUAAUAAGGUUUGCAAUAUAGGAAAGGUUACACUAAUGUUAGCCACCAAGGAAAGCACUAAUAUGGAGGUUCUCAACCUUCCUGAUGCUGGGGCUCCUUCACACAGUUCUUCAUGUGAUGGUGACCACCAAAAAUAGUUAGUUUCGUUGCUACUUCGUAACUGUAAUUUUGCUACUGUUAUGAAUCACAGUGUAUACAUCAGAUACGCAGAUAGUCUUAGGUGACCCCUGUAAAAGGGUCAUUCGUGAUCCACAGGUUGAGAACCACUACUAAACAGAGCAAGAACAGAUUUAGGAGGCAAAACAUCUUCCCAGGAGAAGAAACAUGUGUUCUGGUUUGUUUUCUGUUGUGUGAUAGACACUAUGACCAAAAGCAACUUGGCAAUAAGAACUCUCUUUCAUCUACAGGACAUCAUCAAUGGAGGAAACUCAAGGCCAGAGCUUAAAGCAGAAACCAUAAAGGACCUCUGCUUAUUGGGUUGCUCACAGGCUACCUUUAUUAUAUAGCUCAGACCCAACUGCCUGGGGAUAGGACCACCCACAGUGGACUGAACCCUUCUUCAUCAAUUAGCGAUCAGGAAAAUGCUCCCACAGAUGUUCCUGAAGCCCGAAUUGGUGGAGACAAUUCUUCAAUUGAAGUUCUUUCCCCCCAGAUGUGUCAAAUUGGCAACCAAGAUUAACCAUGCAAACGUGUGACAAACUGAUUUUCCUUUAUUGCAUAUCCUUUCACUGAAUCAUUCACAUUGAAGGGUCAGAGGACAGUGAGAUCAAGCCAGUGGCUUGUUAGUCAGACUUUGAAACUUGCACCAUCUGUAGGUGCUCCAGGAUUUCCAUGUGAAAAGUUUAUUUGGGGAAGUGCUUAGAUAAACACUAAAUAACAAUAGCUCAUGGUAGCCAAGUGCAUCCUGAAACACCAGCUGAUCUCUGUGAGGUUUUGAAUCACGUACUGCAAUUAGCUGCUCACAACUCCAGUAAAACUAAGAGAUUCUUAAAGUUACAGCAUUUCUUGGGGGCUCCCCUAUUGAGCCCUUCCUCACCUCACAGCCCACACAAAGCCUGUACCUACCCUAACACCCUCACAUAGCCACUCCUGGAUUCCCAGGUAGAUAUCCACAUUUAUUUUUCUUAACAAAUAAAUGUACUUAAGUAAAAAAGUGUGAAACAGUUUAAUUGAUUAUUUGAGAAUCUCACAGCAUGCAACCCAAUUGUGUUCACUUCCCAUGUGGCCUCCCCCCUCAAAAAAAAGUCCAUUUUGUGUUGUCCUAUAUUCACUGGAGCGUGGAGCAUGAUCAAAUUCCUAGUACCCAGCCUGCCAAAGGAGGGUGAGUCUUUAUCCAUCAGCUGAGGAGAGCUGUGUGGUUGGUGUCCAAGGGUUUUAGCUUUCCUGCACCCCUACACCCACACCACCACCUGCACCACAGUGCUGAGGGCUGGUGAAGGGUGGGGCCAGCUCUGCUGUGAGGGGCAGGACCAGCUCUCCUGCCGGCCACACACAUUAGCAUGGCUUCAGGUAGUAGCCCUAACCACAGGCAUGGCCUUUGGUGGUAACACUGGCCACAGACAUCAACACGGCUCUUGGCCAUAUCAGGACCACUGUCCCACUCACGGCCCUCAGCGGCUGAUGACCAUGAGCCUCAACACUGCCUUAGGUGGCGACACAUGCCACUUACAUCAGCAUGGCUCCCCAAGGCAGCAAAGCCAAGGCAUGGGGCAGCGACACAGACUGCAAACAUCCACAUGGAUCUCAGGCUUCGUGGCGGUCCAGGCAGCAACAUGGACCUCCGACACCAACAUGCCCUCUGGUGGUAUUGAGGACCAUGGUGGUCCUUUGAGGAGGUCCAAUCCAGGAAGUGAAACUUUCCCAUCUCCGGCCUCCAACAUUGCCCAGAGCCAGGGGAAUCCCGCAGCCAGGUGGCAGGUUCAGGGCUGAGUCUGUGUCUGCAUAAGUUCCCGGCUGUUGUACACCAUCCCACCAACCCUACCGGACAAUGACAGCAUGUCGACCUCAGCCUUCUCUCUCACCUGUCACCACCAUCAUGUCUCCAGGUCCACCUCUCCCUAGCAAGGGCACCACUCAGUUUUUCUGUCUUUGCUCUUCUCCAUCAAGUAUUUAUUGUAGUGGUGCCUGCCUACCCCAGGCUGCAGGGGCCCCAGGCAGCACUCAGGUGUGUCCAUCCACCUAGGCCACCUUUAAAACAUUUUUAAAGUGGUAACACAAUUAGCAUAAAUUAUAGAAAUGACAGAAACAUGAGGGGAAUACACUAAUGACAGAAAGUUUAAAAAAAAUUACCUCCCAAAAGGAGCUCUUCUUAAAAUCAUAUGGUCAAUAUUUUAAAGAAACUAAUAGGUAAUUACAAUGCAAACUCUGGUCAAAGUUUUAAGUCCAUGUAUUUAUUUCAUAUUCUCUCUCUCUCUCUCUCUCUCUCUCUCUCUCUCUCUCUCUCUCUCUCUCUCUCUCUCACACACACACACACACACACACACACACACACACACACACACACCCCUCUCUUUUUAGGAGGACAAAUGCAGACAUAAUGUUUCACCAAGUCCAUCAUAUUGAAGCAUUCCAUAUUGGUGUCCUCUUUUCUAAGCUCUAACUAAAAAUUAAGUGCAUUAUAACUAGGCCGGGGGCGGGGGGAUAUAGCUCAGUUGUCUAGCACACAGUAAGUCUUGGGUUUGAUCCCUGGUACCUCAUAAACCAACCAGACCUGGUGGCACAUGUUUGUCAUCUCAGCACCUGGAAGGUGGAGGCAGGGGGAUUGCAUCCUCCACUAUAUAACAAAGUGAAGGCCAAGUCAGGAGACAUGAGAUUUUGUCAAAUAAUUAAACAAACAAAUAAACAAAUGUUCUCCAUUAAAUGUUCUCUUUAACCCCAAGUGGUAACUGUGGGUCUUGGUGUAUUGGUCAUCUCAGGAUGAAAGUCCCUUGUCAAUGAUCUACAAAUCUAUCAAUCACUUGCAACAAGAGUUAAGAUCACCUUAACAUAUGAUAGUACAAUGUCAUUGACUUUGAUUCCUUAUGGGGACAAUAAGCCCAUAUUGAAAGGCCAAUGUGAGUGAAUAACUGUUAAGUACUUAAAUGAAUAUAUGGGUGUAUUAAGAACAGUCAUAGUGUGGCAGGUGACUGAAGGUUGAAACAUCAAGAUUAACAUAUGAUUUGUGUAUUUUAAUUUCAAUUUUAAAAUUAAAAUAUAAUUACACCUUUUCCCCCUUCUUCUCUUCCCUCCCAUCACACCUCUUAUCCUGCGUCCUCUCAAAUUCAUGGCUUCUUUUUCUUUAAUUAUUAUUGCCACAUAUAUAAACAGAUAAAUAUAUAAAUACAAUUUACUGAGUAUGUUUAGUGUUACUUGAAUGUAUAGGAUUUUAGCACUGACCAUUUGAUAUUGGAUAACCAAUUAGGGGGCUCAUUCCUGAGGAAGACUAAUUCUUCUCUCAUCAGUUGUUAAAUGCCUGAUGAUCUAUAGCUCUUUGUCUAGAGCUGGGAACCAGUGAGAUUUCCCCCUUCCAUGUUAUCAUAUCUAUGGUGUUAUCGUUGUUUGGAUCCUUUAUGCAGACAUAUUGCUGAGGUAUCAUGGGUGUCGUUUCCCUGUCUUUCUAGGAGACAUGAUCUUGCAGCAGACUUUAUAGUAAUUUUUUUUAAAGAAUCACAUGACAUAAGCCAGGUUGCAGAAGACUGGAAGUCUUUUCUCACCUGGGCUUCAUGUAAUGAAUAGAGCCAGCUCACAAAGAGCCUGCAAAACAAGAAAGGGAUGGACAGGCAUUAUGUAAGUGUUCAAUAAAGGACUGCAAGCCUCUUGAUCUGGUGUGUGAGGCUCUUUCCUUGGUUCACUAGCCCACUCCCAUUGGGUGCUUUUCCUUUCAUGAUACACCAUCUGUUUCUAUUUCUAAUCACAUCUCCUCAAUGCAGUCGUUUGUCCUUGGACACCAUAGCCUGGAAUUGGGUGCCCCUGAACUCAGAUCUGGAGCUCAGCACUAAGCAGGUUUUUCCUUCUCCUUUUCUUGUCUCUGUUUUGGAUACUGGCCUAAAAACUAAGCAUGCUUCCCAGACACCCUUUGUCAAUGUUUUCGUGACUCUGCACCUGACUUAAAAAGCAUAGUUUUGUUUGGUUUCAUCUCCUCUCCUCCUGGCAGCUGCCAGGAUUUGCAGCUUGCCUAUCCUGUUGUUUUUCUCUCAAAAUUGGCUGUGCUUGGGCUUCUUCGAAUCUUUUUUAAAAUUCUUUUAUUAAAGAGACUGAGAAUCCAGAAGGACAUCUCAGUUCCCCAUAACCAAAGGACCAUUGAGCCUUCAGAAGAUGUCUUUAUCUCAGAUAUAUCAUUCUCCAGAGCAGUGAAAAUAGUUAACUCAAGUGCAGAUAGGCCAGCAUGGCCAAUCCAGAUCAGAAAAGUUAGUAAAUGUGUGCAUGUGUGUGUUCUUUUGUGUGAAGGAAAAUAUCGAGGGCAGUAACUCUCAGUGUAACUUUGGUUGCAUGAACAAUGAGUCCAUGAGGUGCUCAUUGCUCAGGAAGGAUGACUGACUGGCCUGUCUUCUUAAGCAAAGAGGUCCAACAUGAAGGAAGUCAGCUGUGUGACCACCUCUCUCUCUUUUGUUAAAUUUUUUAAAAUUCAUUUUACAUACCAACCACAGAUCCGCCUCUCAUCCCUCCUCCUGCUCCCUCUCAGUCUUCCCUCCAGACCCCCCCAUCCCCUCCUCCAAAGGGGUAAGGCCUCCUAUGGGGAGUCAGCAAAGCCUAGUACAUUUAGUUGAGGCAGGACCAAGCUCCUCCCCACUGCAUCAAGGGUGAGCAAAGCAUCCCACCAUAGGUAGUAGACUCCAGAGAGCCAGUUCAUGCACCAGGGAUAGACCCUGAUCCCACUGCCAGGGGCCCUUGAAACAGACCAAGCUACACAACUGUCUCCUGUAUGCAGAGGGCUUAGUCCAGUCCCAUGCAGGUUCCACAGUUGUCAGUCUAAAGUUCGUGAGUUCCUAUGAGCUUGGUUUACUGUCUCUGUAUAUUUCUCCAUCAUGAUCUUGACACCACCACCACCCCCCCUGCUCAUAGAAUCCCUCUUCCCUCUCUUCCACUGGACUCCUGGAGCUGGGCCUGGUGUUUGGCUGUGGAUCUCUGCAUCUGUUUCCAUCAGUUUCUGAAUGAAGGCUCUAUGAUGACAGUUAGGGUAUUCACCAAUCUGCUUACCAGAGUAAGCCAGCUCAGGCACCCUCUCCACUAUUGCUAGUAGUCUAGUCUGGGGUCAUCCUUAUGGGUUCCUGGGAUUUUCCCUAGCACCAGGGUUCUCCCUUACCCCCAUAAUGUCUCCCUCUAUCAAGAUAUCUUUUUCAUUGCUCUUCCACUCUGUCCCUACCCAACUCAAUCAUCCCAUUCCCUCAUGGUCUCAACCCCUAUCCAUGCCCUCUAUUGCCCCCACCUCAUCCCCAGUUUACUCAUGGAGAUUUCAUCUGUUUCCCCUUCUCAAAGUGAUCCAUGUGUGUGACCACCUCUUUUCGAAAUGCCUUCAUAGACAAGAACGUGAACAAUGGAACUAUCAAUAGACAUACUAACAUGGAAGGAAGAAAGUCUCAUAGGAUCCCACACACAGACAAAGAGCUAUAGGCAACUAGUGAAUGCUGAGAGAGAAUUAGCCUCGCCCAGGGAUGAGUCGCCUCCUUGGUUAUCCAAUAGGGGGAGGUCAGCUCUGAAACCAUACAUACACAGCUCUGAAACCAAACAAGAAAAAUAGAUUUAGCAGGCUAUAUUUAUGCAUAUAACGCAACAAUAAUAAUCAAAUAAAAAAGCUAUCAAAUUGAGAGUGAUGAGGGCAUUGGAAGAAGAAAGAGAGGGGGAAGUAAUAUAGUUAUAUUUUUAUUCAUUUUAGUUGAAUAGAAUUAUAUCAAUUUCCUCUCCUCCUCCCUCCAGCCAUUUCAUGCCCCCACUGUCAGGUUGAUAGCCUCUUUUUCUUCGAUUGUUAUUGUUAAAGAUGUGUGUAUGUAUGUGCAUGCACAAAUACACACACACGCACACAACCUGCAGUCUGUUUUUGUUUGUGUGCAUGUUUGUGUUUUCAAGGCUGACUAUUCUGCAUUGGACAAUCAAUAAUGGGGCUCAUCCCUGAAAUGGGCUAAUUCUCCUUUUCACAGCAGUCAUUAGCUGCCUGUGGUUCUUUGACUAGGAGACGGACCCCAUGAAAUUUUCCCCCUUUCUCCAUUAACUUGUGCAUUGAUAUUACCUCUGUUCCAGUCUUGGUUUUGCAGCCAUUCCUUGGAUACACUACUUCAAGCAGAUUUCUUGCUGUUCACGCUCUUACAAUCCUUCUGCCCCUCUUCUUCUAUGUUCCCCGAGCCAUAGAUGUAGGAGCUGUGAUGGAGAUGUAUCCAUUGGGGCUGUGCUCCCCACAAUCCAUUGAUAUUUGCCUUAUAUUCAGUUGUGAUUUUUCUGUCAUGGUCUCAGCUUGCUGCAGAGAGAAGCUUCUUUGAUGAGGAAUAAUAGCUACACUUAGCUGUGGGUAUAAGGAUAAGAGUUAGAAUUUAGAUAAGGAAUAAUCCCAUCUCUCUCAUCUGCAGUUCCUAGCUCCAAAUCUUCAGAUGUGAGUAUAUGAGUAACCACAGAAACCAGGAAAGUAUAAAGGAACUCCGUGUGUGUGUGUGUGUGUGUGUGUGUGUGUGUGUGUGUGUGUGUGUGUAGGGGAGUCAGG